AGCGAACGCUGGCGGCAGGCCUAACACAUGCAAGUCGAACGGACCCUUCGGGGUUAGUGGCGGACGGGUGAGUAACACGUGGGAACGUGCCUUUAGGUUCGGAAUAGCUCCUGGAAACGGGUGGUAAUGCCGAAUGUGCCCUUCGGGGGAAAGAUUUAUCGCCUUUAGAGCGGCCGGCGCCUGAUUAGCUAGGUGGUGAGGUAACGGCGCACCAAGGCGACGAUCAGUAACUGGUCUGAGAGGAUGGCCAGCCACACUGGGCGUGAGACACGGGGCAGACUCCUAGAGGAGGGAGCAGGGGGGAAUCUUGCGCAAUGGGCGAAAGCCUGACGCAGCCAUGCGGCGUGAAUGAUGAAGGUCUUAGGAUUGUAAAAUUCUUUCACCGGGGACGAUAAUGACGGUACCCGGAGAAGAAGCCCCGGCUAACUUCGUGCCAGCAGCCGCAGUAA
rnacentral:rRNA from 1 species